CAGUCAGUCGUUCCGGCUUGGCUACGUUUGUCUUUGAAAAUAUGCAAAUUUAAAAAUGUUGCAAUUUAGACUGCAUACCCUUAGACAGAUUUCAUAAUACACGUGCUUCUCCAGCAUUGGGAACGAAGUCAGAGUUAAGUGCUGGAAAGCACGUUAAUAAAAUCGUCAUGAUGGAGCGUUCGAACAGCUGGAUAUAUUUGGGCAGGCCAGGACCUAGACCCGAGAGGUCAAACCUGGGUCGCAACCUGUGACACGCAUACACAAUGAGAGAGAUAGUCAGAAAGUGUGAGUAAUGGACAGGGAGAUACGGACACAGAUACACAUUUAAAGGAGAAAUUGAAACGGAUUCUGGAUUCUAUGUGAUGCCAUCGAAAAUCUGUGGAAGUCGUUUUGCAGCCGGCUAGGAAGAUGGCCAUAAAUUACCGGCGACUAUUCAGUAUCGGUCAAUAAUAGGCGACAAUAAAAAUUUAUUACAGUUUGA